rnacentral:lncRNA from 1 species
GCAUUACGUAACAAACAGACAGACACCUGGAAGCUUUGUUCACGUCCUACCAUUUUAAGCUCCGGAUAUUCCGCCUUUUAACUCUGACGUAACAUGAUUGACACAGGCUUCCCCGAAUCAGCGCUUCCAAUGAACAUGAUUGACAGCGGUAUUGGCCAAUGAGCGUUCGAGCUCCGGCAGCUAUGGCGUCUGUGCCCCGUCUGCUGAUUUGCAACCCGCCGAAAUAGGAUCGGUGAAGAAGGAGACCUUCGAUCGGUUCGCCAUGGACUGUUCUAGGAUCAGUAAGGUUUAAAUACGACUCUAACCAUAGAGCGAGGUAGCCUCCCUGCUGGACCCUAACAUGAAGAGCUCAAAGGCCCGCAAGUACCAGAUCCAUUACGAAGAGGUGAAGAGGAGAUUGGAACCGCCUGAAAAGAUGUCUCUCCGAUCUCUGGCUGCCUAUACGAGAGUGAGUCGAGGUCCAGCUAGUAAGAAAACACUCUUGGAGUCCCUAAAUGUCUUUGGACUGUCACCAAGCACCAAUACAGCAGUGUCCAGUUCCUUUUCUAAACUAACUGAAGGUGACACAGCUGCUCUUUGCAAAGACAUGAAGGAUUUUGCACUGCAAUAUGUUGAUUAUGAGAAUAUGGCGAAACAGUUGCUACCUGAAACAAACCAAGUACAGCACUGGUCAAAAAUCAUUGAAACAAGGAACUAUCUAGAGGAGAUGCGGAAGACUUUUAAUGACCCUGUGAAUACACGUUUGUUCUCCAAUGUUACACAUGGUCUUGGUAACGGCAUGAUGGACGUGGCUCUCGAUAUCGUAGAUAACGUCAUCGACCGACAAAUCCGAAUCCUCUCAGGGAACACUGACCCCAAACCCGAACCUCCAGUGAGAAGAAUAAGGAAACGCAACCGCAAGCCCAAAGCCGCCACGGAAGACGGCAAACCUAAAGAAAAGGGCAGAAGGGGACAGAAGAAAGGAAAACAGAUGCGGCUGGAUUCUGUUGUUCCUGAAGUUCAGCAGUCCACAGAGAUGGAAAGCAGCGUGUUAACACUAGUCUCUGUAGGAUACGAAACCAUUUCCAGUGGACUUAACGCCACCAAUGCAGGUCUUGCAUAACAUCACGUGCCUGAAAGGUGCUGAGAGACACUGAAUUCUGAGUGCAAAAAGUUUUUCAUAGAAAAUUAUAGUUUUAUAAACAUUAGACUUCUCUCCUUCUCUCAAGACUGAAUAUAUUUAGUUUUUUGUUUUCCUCCCAAACUGGUUGAUCAAGAAAAUAAUGUGGCUCUGGGAAGCUGUUUGACAGAGAUGUUUUGAUUUAUACUUUACCAAUCAUGUGUCGCUCUCAAUCUUUCGUUUUGUCAUUUGUGGUAAAGAACAAAUGUACACCGACAGCGUAUGCUAUUAAAGUAGCACGCAAGCAUUUUUUUUCAAGCACUAUGUUGUACUCUCAUGAAAUGAAUCACAAUAUCAGUUUCUGUUAGUCUCAUUUUAGAAUGUUCUCUCUGAAGUGUUAUUUGAUUCUGUUUUACUUAAUCAUAGAAACCCCAAGCAAUUUAGUUUGAGUAAGAACAUAUCUUCUCUUGAUUUUUCGGACUAUUUAUUUCCUUUUUCUGUUUGUGUCUGAUAUGUAGUGUAUGUGAAUGACUGUAGCCUGUACUCUGUACGUUUUGCAGAUUGCUCGUCAUAUGCUUGUAUUAAAAG